AUUGAACGCUGGCGGCAGGCCUAACACAUGCAAGUCGAGCGCGCGGCGGGCGGGUGAGUAAUGUCUGGGAAACUGCCUGAUGGAGGGGGAUAACUCCUGGAAACGGUAGCUCAUACCGCAUACCAUCAGAUGUGCCCAGAUGGGAGUAGCUAGUAGGUGGGGUAACGGCUCACCUAGGCGACGAUCCCUAGCUGUUCUGCGAGGGUGACCAGCCACACUGGAACUGAGACACGGUCCAGACUCCUACGGGAGGCAGCAGUGGGGAAUAUUGCACAAUGGGCGCAAGCCUGAUGCAGCCAUGCCGCGUGUGUGAAGAAGGCCUUCGGGUUGUAAAGUACUUUCAGUGGGGAGGCGUUACCCGCAGAAGAAGCACCGGCUAACUCCGUGCCAGCAGCCGCGGUAAUUC
rnacentral:rRNA from 1 species